ensembl:rRNA 5S_rRNA 5S ribosomal RNA
GCUUACGGCCAUACCACCCUGAGAACGCCCGAUCUCGUCUGAUCUCGGAAGCUAAGCAGGGUCGGGCCUGGUUAGUACUUGGAUGGGAGACCGCCUUGGAAUACCAGGUGCUGUAAGCU